AAGGAUGUAGGCAGGUGAAUUAGGCAAAUCCGGUUCACUAUAUGCUGAGGUCUGAUGACGAGUCACUACGGUGGCGAAGUAGCUCAUGCCCCGCUUCCAGGAAAAGCCUCUAAGCUCUAGAUUAUCAUUAAUCGUACCCCAAACCGACACAGGUGGUCAGGUAGAGAAUACUCAGGCGCUUGAGAGAACUCGGGUGAAGGAACUAGGCAAAAUGGUGCCGUAACUUCGGGAGAAGGCACGCUGGCGCUAGGUGAAGUGGUUUACCCAUGGAGCUGAAGCCAGUCGCAGAUACCAGCUGGCUGCAACUGUUUAUUAAAAACACAGCACUGUGCAAACACGAAAGUGGACGUAUACGGUGUGACGCCUGCCCGGUG
rnacentral:rRNA from 1 species